rnacentral:rRNA from 1 species
AAUAGAUCCCGGGUAGUCCACGCCGUAAACGAUGAGUGCUAAGUGUUAGAGGGUUUCCGCCCUUUAGUGCUGCAGCUAACGCAUUAAGCACUCCGCCUGGGGAGUACGGUCGCAAGACUGAAACUCAAAGGAAUUGACGGGGGCCCGCACAAGCGGUGGAGCAUGUGGUUUAAUUCGAAGCAACGCGAAGAACCUUACCAGGUCUUGACAUCCUCUGACAACUCUAGAGAUAGAGUGUUCCCCUUCGGGGGACAGAGUGACAGGUGGUGCAUGGUUGUCGUCAGCUCGUGUCGUGAGAUGUUGGGUUAAGUCCCGCAACGAGCGCAACCCUUGAUCUUAGUUGCCAGCAUUUAGUUGGGCACUCUAAGGUGACUGCCGGUGACAAACCGGAGGAAGGUGGGGAUGACGUCAAAUCAUCAUGCCCCUUAUGACCUGGGCUACACACGUGCUACAAUGGAUGGUACAAAGGGCUGCAAGACCGCGAGGUCAAGCCAAUCCCAUAAAACCCAUUCUCAGUUCGGAUUGUAGG